UCAAGGUCAAGGUAAUGACUUUUCUUCCUACCACCUUCAUACAUAUGAUGAAUCUGAUGUAGAUAAUGACUUUUCUUCCUACCACCUUCAUACAUCUGAUGAAUCUGAUGUAGAUGUAGAUGCUAAACAAUCUGAUUCUGAGUCACUUUAUGAUGUUGAUGAGAACAUUGAUGACUUAAGUGACUUGGAUUCUGAGUUUGUUGAAGCUAGGAAGUCUAACAUUCAAGAACAAGUUAAUAAAGAGAAGGCUGCUAGAAUAAAUGUAGAUGAGAUACCUUCUGGUCCUGUAGGUAUAGAUGCUGGUUUUGAAGAUAUUUAUAAGAAUAAGAGGGGAAGAUAUGAAGGAAAAUUGGGUGGGGAUGACCUGUAUUUUGAUAGCUCAGAUCCUGGCAGUGAUAUUAGUGAGGAUGAAGGGGAUCCUGUUGAUUCUGAUGAGGUUGUAGAUCCACCAGCUAGAAAUUCAAGUACAAAGGUCUAUUUUGACCCAACUGCCAAAAAAAUUGUAUUUCAGUUGUAUAUGGUUUUUGUGAAUAAUGUUCAGUUUAGAGAAGCACUACAGACUUACUCUAUUCAGAAGGGUGUGAACAUUAAACUUAAACCUAAUGAAAAGGAGAGAAUCAGGGC
rnacentral:lncRNA from 1 species